CAGAGUGACAGGUGGUGCAUGGUUGUCGUCAGCUCGUGUCGUGAGAUGUUGGGUUAAGUCCCGCAACGAGCGCAACCCUUGAUCUUAGUUGCCAGCAUUCAGUUGGGCGGACAGAGGGGAGCUUGCUCGGUGAUGAUAGCGGAGGAAGGGUGGGGAAGACGUGGGAUAAUCAUGCCUGUAAUGACCUGGGAUACACACCGGGAAACAGGGGAUAGAACAGGAGGGUAGUCGGAACCGCGAGGUUAAGACAAUCCCACAAAGGUGGUCUCAGUUCGGAUAGCAGUCUGCAGAUGGACUGCGUGGAGCUGGAAUAGCUAGUAGGUGAGGUAACGGCAUGCCGAGGUGACGAUGCGUAGCCGGGCCUGGGAGGUGAUCGGCCGUCACACUGGGAGAGUUUGUAACACCCGAAGUCGGUG
rnacentral:rRNA from 1 species